GCAUCGGUGGUUCAGUGGUAGAAUGCACGCCUGCCACGCGGGCGGCCCGGGUUCGUUUCCCGGCCGGCU
rnacentral:tRNA from 1 species